rnacentral:rRNA from 1 species
ACGGGUGAGUAAUAUAUCGGAACGUGCCCUAGAGUGGGGGAUAACUAGUCGAAAGACUAGCUAAUACCGCAUACGAUCUAAGGAUGAAAGUGGGGGAUCGCAAGACCUCAUGCUCCUGGAGCGGCCGAUAUCUGAUUAGCUAGUUGGUGGGGUAAAAGCCUACCAAGGCGACGAUCAGUAGCUGGUCUGAGAGGACGACCAGCCACACUGGGACUGAGACACGGCCCAGACUCCUACGGGAGGCAGCAGUGGGGAAUUUUGGACAAUGGGGGCAACCCUGAUCCAGCAAUGCCGCGUGAGUGAAGAAGGCCUUCGGGUUGUAAAGCUCUUUUGUCAGGGAAGAAGCGGUUCUGGCUAGUAUCCAGAACUAAUGACGGUACCUGAAGAAUAAGCACCGGCUAACUACGUGCCAGCAGCCGCGGUAAUACGUAGGGUGCAAGCGUUAAUCGGAAUUACUGGGCGUAAAGCGUGCGCAGGCGGUUGUGUAAGACAGAUGUGAAAUCCCCGGGCUCAACCUGGGAAUUGCAUUUGUGACUGCACGGCUAGAGUGUGUCAGAGGGGGGUAGAAUUCCACGUGUAGCAGU